AACCAUUCUCACCUGCGGCUAGACCUGCGGAGGGAUCACUGCUAGAAUGUGGAAUUGGUGGGUGGGGGGUGGAAUGGAUCGGUGGAUUCAUCUCAUUCUCUCCCUCAUUACCAUUACCAUUAACACGCUUGCUUGUUUGACUGUAACCUAUAAUCACCUAUACAACUUUCAGCAAUGGAUCU
rnacentral:misc_RNA from 1 species